rnacentral:rRNA from 1 species
GACGAACGCUGGCGGCGUGCCUAAUACAUGCAAGUUGAGCGAUGAAGAUUGGUGCUUGCACCAAUUUGAAGAGCAGCGAACGGGUGAGUAACGCGUGGGGAAUCUGCCUUUGAGCGGGGGACAACAUUUGGAAACGAAUGCUAAUACCGCAUAACAACUUUAAACAUAAGUUUUAAGUUUGAAAGAUGCAAUUGCAUCACUCAAAGAUGAUCCCGCGUUGUAUUAGCUAGUUGGUGAGGUAAAGGCUCACCAAGGCGAUGAUACAUAGCCGACCUGAGAGGGUGAUCGGCCACAUUGGGACUGAGACACGGCCCAAACUCCUACGGGAGGCAGCAGUAGGGAAUCUUCGGCAAUGGACGAAAGUCUGACCGAGCAACGCCGCGUGAGUGAAGAAGGUUUUCGGAUCGUAAAACUCUGUUGGUAGAGAAGAACGUUGGUGAGAGUGGAAAGCUCAUCGAGUGACGGUAACUACCCAGAAAGGGACGGCUAACUACGUG